CCUACGGGCGGCAGCAGUGGGGAAUAUUGCACAAUGGGCGCAAGCCUGAUGCAGCCAUGCCGCGUGUGUGAAGAAGGCCUUCGGGUUGUAAAGCACUUUCAGCGGGGAGGAAGGCGGUGAGGUUAAUAACCUCAUCGAUUGACGUUACCCGCAGAAGAAGCACCGGCUAACUCCGUGCCAGCAGCCGCGGUAAUACGGAGGGUGCAAGCGUUAAUCGGAAUUACUGGGCGUAAAGCGCACGCAGGCGGUCUGUCAAGUCGGAUGUGAAAUCCCCGGGCUCAACCUGGGAACUGCAUUCGAAACUGGCAGGCUAGAGUCUUGUAGAGGGGGGUAGAAUUCCAGGUGUAGCGGUGAAAUGCGUAGAGAGCUGGAGGAAUACCGGUGGCGAAGGCGGCCCCCUGGACAAAGACUGACGCUCAGGUGCGAAAGCGUGGGGAGCAAACAGGAUUAGAUACCCGGGUAGUC
rnacentral:rRNA from 1 species